CGCGGCCUAUCAGCUUGUUGGUGAGGUAACGGCUCACCAAGGCAUCGACGGGUAGCUGGUCUGAGAGGACGAUCAGCCACACUGGGACUGAGACACGGCCCAGACUCCUACGGGAGGCAGCAGUAGGGAAUCUUGCGCAAUGGGCGAAAGCCUGACGCAGCAACGCCGCGUGGGGGGUGAAUGCCUUCGGGUUGUAAACCCCUUUCAGCAGGGACGAAAAUGACGGUACCUGCAGAAGAAGCUCCGGCCAACUACGUGCCAGCAGCCGCGGUAAUACGUAGGGAGCGAGCGUUGUCCGGAAUUAUUGGGCGUAAAGAGCUCGUAGGCGGUUCAGUAAGUCGGGUGUGAAAACUCAAGGCUCAACCUUGAGACGCCACUCGAUACUGCUGUGACUUGAAUCCGGUAGAGGAGUGUGGAAUUCCUGGUGUAGCGGUGAAAUGCGCAGAUAUCAGGAGGAACACCAGCGGCGAAGGCGGCACUCUGGGCCGGUACUAACGCUGAGGAGCGAAAGCAUGGGGAGCAAACAGGAUUAGAUACCCUGGUAGUCCAUGCCGUAAACGUUGGGCACUAGGUAUGGGAUCAUAUCAACGGAUUCCGUGCCGUAGCUAACGCAUUAAGUGCCCCGCCUGGGGAGUACGG
rnacentral:rRNA from 1 species